rnacentral:rRNA from 1 species
UACGUAGGGGGCAAGCGUUGUCCGGAUUUAUUGGGCGUAAAGAGCGUGUAGGCGGCCAGGUAGGUCUGCUGUGAAAACUCGAGGCUUAACCUCGAGCUGUCGGCGGAAACCAUCUGGCUAGAGUCCGGAAGAGGAGAAUGGAAUUUCCGGUGUAGCGGUGAAAUGCGUAGAUAUCGGAAGGAACACCGGUGGCGAAGGCGGCGACCUGGGUCGAUACUGACGCUGAUGCGCGAAAGCGUGGGGAGCAAACAGG